GAUGAACGCUGGCUACAGGCUUAACACAUGCAAGUCGAGGGGAAACGCCGGGGAAGCUUGCUUCCCCGGGCGUCGACCGGCGCACGGGUGAGUAACGCGUAUCCAACCUGCCUCUGACUGAGGGAUAACCCGUCGAAAGUCGGCCUAAUACCUCAUGGUAUCGUCUGCGGGCAUCCAACGACGAUUAAAGAUUUCAUCGGUCAGGGAUGGGGAUGCGUCUGAUUAGCUUGUUGGCGGGGUAACGGCCCACCAAGGCUACGAUCAGUAGGGGUUCUGAGAGGAAGGGCCCCCACAUUGGAACUGAGACACGGUCCAAACUCCUACGGGAGGCAGCAGUGAGGAAUAGUGGUCAAUGGGCGAGAGCCUGAACCAGCCAAGUAGCGUGCAGGAAGACGGCCCUAUGGGUUGUAAACUUCUUUUAUGAGGGGAUAAAGUGAGGGACGUGUCCCUCAUUGCAGGUACCGCAUGAAUAAGGACCGGCUAAUUCCGUG
rnacentral:rRNA from 1 species